rnacentral:rRNA from 1 species
UACGUAGGGUCCGAGCGUUGUCCGGAAUUACUGGGCGUAAAGAGCUCGUAGGUGGUUUGUCGCGUUGUUCGUGAAAACUCACAGCUCAACUGUGGGCGUGCGGGCGAUACGGGCAGACUUGAGUACUGCAGGGGAGACUGGAAUUCCUGGUGUAGCGGUGGAAUGCGCAGAUAUCAGGAGGAACACCGAUGGCGAAGGCAGAUCUCUGGGCCGUAACUGACGCUGGAGGAGCGAAAGCAUGGGGAGCGAACAGG